rnacentral:rRNA from 1 species
AACGAACGCUGGCGGCAUGCCUAACACAUGCAAGUCGAACGAGACCUUCGGGUCUAGUGGCGCACGGGUGCGUAACGCGUGGGAACCUGCCUUUAGGUUCGGAAUAACUCAGAGAAAUUUGAGCUAAUACCGGAUGAUGUCUUCGGACCAAAGAUUUAUCGCCUUUAGAUGGGCCCGCGUUGGAUUAGCUAGUUGGUGGGGUAAAGGCCUACCAAGGCGACGAUCCAUAGCUGGUCUGAGAGGAUGAUCAGCCACACUGGGACUGAGACACGGCCCAUACUCCUACGGGAGGCAGCAGUGGGGAAUAUUGGACAAUGGGCGAAAGCCUGAUCCAGCAAUGCCGCGUGAGUGAUGAAGGCCUUAGGGUUGUAAAGCUCUUUUACCCGAGAUGAUAAUGACAGUAUCGGGAGAAUAAGCUCCGGCUAACUCCGUG